CUGAAAUGAUACGGACCGGACCGUAGAGUAAGGC
rnacentral:sRNA from 1 species